rnacentral:lncRNA from 1 species
GCAAACUUGGUUUUAAUUGCCUUCAUCUAAACUUUUAUCACUUUGGGGGCCGGCCCAGUGGCGCAGCAGUUAAGUUCGCAUGUUCUGCUUUGGCAGCCCAGGGUUUGCCGGUUCGGAUCCCCGGUGCAGACAUGGCACCACUUGCCAAGCCAUGCUGGGAAUUCUCUAGGUCUCAAAGUCUUAACCUUGAUAAUGAAAUUGUUGCUUUCACAUGGGAAUUUCCUCUCCUGCUUUUAAGAAAAAGAGGAAGAUAGAGCCCACAAGCAAGGAAUGUGAGCCUGAAAACUCAGGAGACUGUGAUUUUUCCACAAACAAGUAUCAAUUGCAUCAUUUCAGGAAACUUUCAAGAAAAUUUUAAUUAAAAUAAGCACUAAGAAAUGGAAUUUGUUCUUCACCUAAUAUUAUUUUGCCUUAUUUUCUAUAAUUUGAUAACUGUUAAAAGUAGUAUAUAUUGAGAAAUUAUACUUUUUAAAACUUGUAGCCUCUUGCCUCACCCCAUCAGAAUAUUCAAUAAAUUUUCUUGUU